CUCUGCAGCACAGCUCUCUCCCCGGGACGUGAGGUUCUGGCCACCCCGCCAUGAGGCUUCUAGUUGUCUCCAGGCUGCUCUGCAUCUUGCUCCUCUGCUUCUCCAUCUUCUCCACAGAAGGGAGAAAAAAUUCUAGUCAUCUCAGCAGGCCCUGGAAACGCAGACUGUGCUGUUCCCGAGUUCCUAACCCUGCCCUGACGACCCGGAAAGGGCGCCGUGUGAGGAUCUGCAGACUGUGUAACUUCAAGCCAGAGUCCCGGCUUUGGGUGGUACCUGGGGCUCUUCCACAAGUGUAAUGCUCCCCAGACAAGGCUGCAUGCUGCUGAGACCCUCAUGCCCAGUGCCCGAGACAUCCAGAAGUCUCGGGUUCUCCCAGGAUGCUCCUUUUG